GAUCAUGGCUCAGGAUGAACGCUGGCGGCGUGCUUAACACAUGCAAGUCGAACGAAGCACCUUGAUUUGAUUCUUCGGAUGAAGAUCUUGGUGACUGAGUGGCGGACGGGUGAGUAACGCGUGGGUAACCUGCCUCAUACAGGGGGAUAACAGUUAGAAAUGACUGCUAAUACCGCAUAAGACCACAGCACCGCAUGGUGCAGGGGUAAAAAACUCCGGUGGUAUGAGAUGGACCCG
rnacentral:rRNA from 1 species